UCUCUCUCUCUCUCUCUCUCUCUCUCUCUCUCUAUUUGAGCAUGCGGAUAAUGAACCCUAGGAGCUUAAUAUUUGUUUGCAUCUAAAAGGAAAUAUGAUUGGGAGCUGAUAUUCUGAACUAAUCGACCAGUCUCUCAGCUGGAAGGUAAAGAUGGUUGGUUCAAUAUAAGAGCAUUCACACAAAAAAUCCGAUUUAACACUAUAUAAAAUAUGUAGAAACCUACUUACCCUCUGUUUGCUAAGAAAAUGCAAGAAAAAAACAGAAAAUUUCAUCUUUUUAAACAUUUACUGUUGUUUUGUGGGUAGGAGUUCAAUAAUUAUGCUUAUAAGAGCGUUUGAGGUCACCCACUUAAUAACAUUAUACUUUUUAUUGAAAUCACUUGGGUUUCUGUGGAAACUCAAGGACAUAAAGGCAAAAGUGAGUCUUUGUUCUAUAAUUAUAUGUUGGAUUGAAAAUUUGGUGUCUUUCUUCUUUCUUGCAUGUGCUUGGAAUUACAAUGAAAAUUUCCUUUCAUUGUUUUUUCGUUGUUGAAGGGUUUGAGCAUGAGGAAAAAGGUAAUUUUGCAACCUCACCAAAGCAUUUCAGAGUUGCUUGGGUGAAGCUGAUGACUUUGUGCAUUGCAGGACUACAACAAAAUGGUGCAACUACAUCUAUUCGUGGACUUUGAAAUAGAAACAAGGUGACUGUUUGUGCUUGAAUAAAGGCUUGACAUUGCCCUUGCUGCUGUUGUGGGACAGAGCCAGUGCAUAUGUACAGAAGUUGCGAACAACACAGAAUGUUGACCGACUUUGAAGGUGCUACAAGAAAAAACGAAGUAGGGUUCUGCAUUUGGACUAGCAAAGAGGGCGUGUGACGUGUCAAAUGGUAAAGUUGCAAUUAACGGGCUUCUCGGAGAGCUGAAAAAAACUGUACGCAACAGGGCGAAGCCUGAAGGAUCAAUUAUAGAGGCUUGGGUUCAAUAUGAGUCGCUUAUUUUCUAUGGAAUGUAUUUAAAAGAUGUGCAGACGGCUUUCAAUCGUCCUUAGUGCAAUAAUGACAGAGGUGUGAGAAAUGAGAAACUUUAUGUCUUUUCCCAAAGCGCACGCCCCUUUGGAGAUCCUGCACGAGGAGAGUCGUUUUCUAGAAAUGACAUGGAGGUAGCGCAUUGGUUCGUACUGAACAAUUGUGAUGAGAUAAUGGCAUACUUAGAUGACCAUGAAGAGAUGAUGAAGCCAGAAAAUCCAUCACAUUUGUAUGCCAAGAAAUACCGUGAAUUGUUUCCACAAUGGUUUUUGGAAUAUGUGAAUAAGUUGAAAUCAUCGAAUUCCCCCACUUACAGUGAAGAGUUAUGUAACUUCGCGUUUGGCCCGAUUCGCGCUGAAUUGUUCUCGGGUUGCCAUGUUAAUGGCGUCAAGUUUUUGGGGAUUGCACGAGAUGACAAGUUGUGUACGCAAAACAGCGGUGUCUAUAUCCCAGGUGGAGGCGAAAGUACGGACAUUGAUUUCUAUGACAAACUCACAAUUGUCGUGCAAUUGCUUUACAAAGACCGAUACUAAGUGAUCAUGUUUAAGUGUCGAUGGUUUGAUACCAACCUAAAUAGGCAGGGAAGUGUUAAAAUCGACCAUGGCUUACUAUCUGUGAACAUUAACAGAACUUGGUA